CGUCAAGGUCUGAGCUUUGAGAGCUGAGUGCCUUCUGUGUUCCAGAGCUUGGUUACGACAUGGCCUCUAGGUGGGUUACCCUUCACGUUUAAAGAGAAGAUGCAGUGUAAGCACCGUGGAGACUCCACAUUGCUCCUGUGGUGACCGGAUUACAGACAGCAACAGGAGACAGCAAGACUCCAGACUCAGCAGACCGGCGUUCGAAUCCCGGCUCCAGCAUUGACGCACUCCUCUCUGAGUGUAUCUAUAAAAUGGGAAUGACAGCAUCUUAUUUGAAAGGCAGAAGCACCAGGCUGGCCCUCCACUCCAGCAGGGGCCCCAGUGAGGCUGCAGAUGGUCCUUGUCCACCUCUGGGAGCAGGUACUCGAUGAAGCAGGAGGACUCCAGAAGUCCUUCCAGGCAUCUUCUCCUGCAGGCCUUCCCUGGGCAACCGUUCCUACAGCGGCGGCUCCAGAAUUUCUAUAUCGGGGGUACUUAGGGGCGGGAAUGGGAGAGUGGGCCCUGACCCAGCAAAAUGUUGUUUUUACCUAAACUGCAUGUUAUAGAUGAAUACAA
rnacentral:lncRNA from 1 species